rnacentral:piRNA from 1 species
UNGGUAUUAACCAAGCAGCCUGGAGUUC